GGAAGGGGCAGGAGGUUGUGCGAGGGACAGAAACAGUAAGACAUUAAUACAAGGGACAGCCAGGGUUAGACAGCUAUGCUAGGGACAGGAAAGGGUGAGCUGGAAAUGCAGAAGGAAAGUAGAAGAAGGAGAGAAAGAGACAAAGCUGUGUGGAGCUACUAAUGGGAUUACAGCAUAGAAAAGGUACAGUAAAAAGGGAUAGUCACCCCCACAGUAUCCUCAGAUGGAUUAUAACCAGGGGAGUCUGGAACAAUGUCAAAUCCACAGAAGAACAGGAAGAGAAUUUAGGAGAAGAAUAGCUGCCUUCCUAUGUGUAACUAAUAAGGAUAUACACUUUUAUGGCAAACAAAUUGGUGCAUUACUUGACAGUAUAAGCAAGCUACUAUUACUCUUAAAAAUACAGAACUAAAAUUACUGAGACUAUGGAAAUAUAUUUGUUUUUAUUCAAACAUUAGGACAUUUUAACUUAAACAAUCAGCCUUUAAAACCUUUAUUUGGAAAAUGCUGAAUGAAUAUAAGCUUUAUUAAAAUUUUUUUUGGUUUACACAGUUAUAGAAAGGAGUGAUUAACAACUCUUUGAUGAAUUGGACUCUGUUUAGCUUAUGUUUAGA